AUGUGUUGCAGGGAAGCAAUGGGAAGCACUGAGGUUUACAAUCGAGGUCCUGCUGUUAGAGGUUUUGACCCACUGUUUGACCCUUUUUGCAUAUGGGGAAAUGAGUCGUCCAUGAAUAUCAGUCAAGUCAAGAAACUCAAAAAGAUUGUUAGGAUAAAGAAAUUAGCGACAAAAAACAACAAGAUCUUUGUCUGCACAAUAAAGAAGACAUCAGUUCACUACAGGCCUUUCCAAAAUAGUUCACUGAUGAUUACCUCUCAAACCACCUGUAUGGUCAGGAGGCGAGGAAGGUAUUCAUACAACACCCACGGUUCAAUAUUGAAGUGUUCCUGA
rnacentral:rRNA from 1 species